AUGGGGACAGACAGCUAUGUAUCUGGGUGGCUCUGGCCACUUUUGUGGCAUGCAGUCCUGUCCCAAGUAGCAGCUGGAACUGGGCCCUGGUUUCGGCUGCUGGGGGUGGAACUGCUUUCUGCAGGACCAGCCUUCAGCUGGGCCUGCCUCAUCCCCAACCCCAUGCAUGGCCUGCACAGCAAGCUCCAGCUGGAGGAGCAGGUAGAGGGGAUACCCAUCAAAGGACACCCAGACUCUAGCACAGCAGAUCAUAUUGGUCCCAAGUUUGACAUCAAUAUGAUGGUUUAACUACCAAGGCAAGAAAAUGCAAGAGAUAUUUGUGUAAUCAAGGUUCCUCCAGAAAUGAAAUACACAGAUUACUAUGUAUUUAGUAGUGGAACUUCUACCCAACACUUGCAUGCCAUGGCAUAUACAUUGUGAAAAUGUACAAAUACCUGAAAAGUAAGGGCCUUAAAUUAAGAUCGAAGGGAAGGACACUGAUGACUGGAUAUAGUGUGGGUUUUGGCAGCAUGAUGCUUCAUUUGAUGCUUCUAGAAACCAGAGAAAUCUGUGAAUUAGAGAAAUUAUGGACUCUCCAUUCUUACGAUGACCAGUUGGCUCAAAUAGCACCUGAGACAUUACCUAAAGACUUCAUUCUUGGAAGAGAAGAUGACACUUCAUCUCUGACUCCAGUGGAGUUCAAAUGUGAAUAAAGUUGUAUGAACUGCUUUAGUCAUUUCAAAAA